GCAGAGAAUUUGGGAUAUUAGAGUUCUCCUUGAGAAGAUCACUGGCUGAAUUAGUAGAAGUUGGAAUUACUAAGCUGGGGCUGCAAUAAACAUCUCCCUGAUCUGAAUUCUCAUUUGGCCCCUUGGGUUAUCUUUAAAAGUCUAGGCUUUCACUGAAAUUUAGAGGAGCAGAAACUUUGUUCAUAAUUAACAUCCCCAAUGUGCUCUGAUAUUUGAAGAAUGGUGGGCCAAAGCGUUUAAUAGCAGCUCAACCACCUGAGGACCUUAGACCAUAGUUUAGUUACCUUUAGAGUCAUACCAUCUCUGUCCCAAUCAUAACCACUUUAAUAAUAUUCAUAAUCAAAGCUAAUAGUUGUUCAAUAUUUAAGUGCCUUUCAUGCAUUAAUUUAUUUAUUCUCCAUAAAUCAAUCUAGAUUAGAUGUUAUUAUAGGCCCCCCAUGUAUAAUAAAGGGUGUGGCUGAAUAACUUGCCUAAGGAGACAUCGUUGGUAAUUAGGUACGGAUACAGGAUAAACUCAAGCCACAAAUACAACUACCAAACACUCUUCUUAGAAUACUAUAAAUUAACUACUUCUUCUGCUUUCUCUUACCUAUAUUCAGAACAGCCAAAGGCAAGAAAUAGAUACUGGCAUCUGGAAACUUUUUUGACAUUUCAAAUCAGUUUAUCCCUUGAUUCUUGCUGAGUUAAGCUGACAGAUUCAAAUAUUUUAUUAAAAAUUAGGCUUCCUCUCCCUCCUCCUUUUUUUAUCCUAGUUGGUCAUGAGAUGCAACAUUUAUAAAAAAGGGGGGGAGUCUUUUAAACAAAUUGAGCCUAAAAAAACCAAAAUAUCAUCUUGAUAAGAAAGUCCAGAUGGAUAUGGGCAAGGUCAAGGGGAAUAGAGUCCAAGAGGAAGCAAAUUCAGCCAAUUUUCCGCAUAUUGGCACCUGAUGGCCAUUGAGGAUGGUCAUGGCUCAGCAAGUCAGCUGAAGUGAAAACUCCAUAACCACUGUUAGAAACUAAGCAAUUGUGUAUGUCUUUUUCCUGAGUUCCCAUCCCCAGUACUAUUUUGGUAUUUAGAUAACCCUAAACUAACGCAGGAAGAAAGUAGAAAAGAAUAGAGGAGGAGAUUAACUAAAGCCAACUGAAACUACCAUGGAAAAAGUUGACUUAAGUGCUCAGCUAGAGGAAGGCAGACUUUUCCUAGACCUGCAGGGCAUUCUACCUGAGAAAGGCCAACUCUGAGCUCAACAGAGGGGCAUUUCCUCACUCCAUUUAAUUCCCAGGAUUGACUGUUCACGCUCAUCUUAGUUCUUCACCAGGACCUUUUUCUUCCAGAUGAUUAUCUUCAAAUCCAUUUAAGCAAUCAUUUUUUUUUCUCAUCACUAAGCCUCUGCUCAAGUCUCGCCUUGAAAUACUUUCUCUCUGGACAUUCAUUUCAUGUUAACUCACCAAGGAAUCUUUUUAGAUUAUUUAAUUUUCAAGCCUUAUCUCUUCAUGAGCUCUUUUAUCAAUGGCGAAAGGCAAAAUGAUCUGAUAUGACAUGCAUCAGAUUCUUCUUCUCUUGCCAAUGAAUGCAAGCUUUACUUCCCUUACUUUUUGUUUUUUUGCUUCAUUAAUUUAUUUGUUCAUUUGCUAUAUCCCUCUCCAUAGCUCAUGGCAAUGCGGGAUCUUUAACCCACUGCACGAGGCCAGGGAUUGAACCCGAAACCUCAUGGUUCCUAGUCGGAUUUGUUUCCGCUGCACCAAGAAGGAACUCCAGGAAAAGCAGUUUCCGAUCAUUUUUUGGUCAGUAUUUGUGUUGUGCAACCACUGAGGUCAUCACAUUCUGGGUUUUCUUAUUCUCACUUGAAAUGCUACCUGUCCUUCAGUCUUCUACCCAGUGGAUUAGCCCAACAGUAUUCACUGUUUGAAGAAAUCUCUUUUGACCAGCAACAAAGACGUUGGUAGCAAUCCAGUACCUUUCUUUGGCAUCCUUCUGUCUUGGCCACUGGGUCUCCUAGCAACAACAUUCCUUCCCAACCCCUUCAGCAGAGGCAAGUCAUUCUCCUGGGGCCCUGGGAACCUCAACAUCUAUGGAGGACUGGUUCCCACUGAUGCUGUUACCCCAUAACCUUCCUUCAAAAAGCCUUCCUGUCCUGAAGGUGUAUCCACUCUUUCUCUACUCUGAAAAACCUUUUUCCCAGAAAUCUGGCGUAUAACACUCCCUGCCACCCCAUUCGUGCAAUUAUCCUGGCCAACUUUAGCAUUCCCAAUGACAUUCCACUGCCUUUGCUUCUCAGUGCUCUAGCCUCUCUUUCUCCCACUUCAACCCUUGGAGAGCUGGGGAAAACAGAAAUACAGCCAUGGGAAGUGGUAGCUAUGACUCUUGUCUCCAAAGACAGAAAAAAAAAAAAAAAAAAAAAAAAAA
rnacentral:lncRNA from 1 species